UGGCGUGUAGUUCAGCGGUAGAACGCUUGACUGUUAAUCAAGAUGUCGCUGGUUCGAUCCCAGCCAUGCCAG
rnacentral:tRNA from 1 species